rnacentral:rRNA from 1 species
CCUACGGGUGGCAGCAGUGAGGAAUAUUGGUCAAUGGCCGGAAGGCUGAACCAGCCAAGCCGCGUGAAGGACGAAGGUGCCAAGCAUUGUAAACUUCUUUUGUUAGAGAAGAUAAUGACGGUAUCUAACGAAUAAGCACCGGCUAACUCCGUGCCAGCAGCCGCGGUAAUACGGAGGGUGCAAGCGUUACUCGGAAUCACUGGGCGUAAAGAGCGCGUAGGCGGGAUAGCAAGUCAGAUGUGAAAUCCUAUGGCUUAACCAUAGAACUGCAUUUGAAACUGUUAUUCUAGAGUAUGGGAGAGGUAGGUGGAAUUCUUGGUGUAGGGGUAAAAUCCGUAGAGAUCAAGAGGAAUACUCAUUGCGAAGGCGACCUGCUAGAACAUAACUGACGCUGAUGCGCGAAAGCGUGGGGAGCAAACAGGAUUAGAUACCCGUGUAGUC